rnacentral:lncRNA from 1 species
GGAACAGAUUCUGACCUCAUCUGAGCCGAGCAGCUCUCGCCCCAGGCGGACUGCACGAACACGGAUGUGUAAGUCUGUUCCGAAUGCCUCUAUAGUGUGGCAGGAAAAGGUGUGAAAUCAUGAUACACUUCCACCUAGUGAGUGAAAUUUGUACGUUUUGUCACGCACACACAAAGUCGCACACUGAUUUUUUCCACUUUGUUUAUCUCACACUGUGAAGGUGUGUGUUUCAUGGGAAGAGUGUGAAUGUUGCACCUGUCAGCUCUUGAUUAACAAACCAUGCUUUCUGUACUGAGCGCACACAUUACACACAUGCCACCCAUGUUCAUAAACUCAGAGAAACUGCCAGAGUUUCUUCCUGCUAAUUGCCUAUGCUAAUUUUAUCUCCAGAGUGGCAGUAAAAGUAUUAGUGCAAAGCUUUUCUUGGCACUUAGAUGUUUUUUUUUUUUUUUUCAUCUUCCAUGUUUUAAAAAAAUAAGAUUAAAUGUACAGAAAGUCUAGUAUGAACAACUUUUUAUUUCAUAAACUUUAAACUUUUUGGUAAAUCCAAAUUCAGUCCAAUAACCACACUGUCUGGCGGACUGUGACUAACUUUUGAUUUACCUAACACAAACCUUUAAGGAACUAACCACUGAUUUAGUCCGUGUUAUGUCUGGUUUAGUGAUGAUGACUCUGUUAUGGACAAACCACAACACAGACUAGACUAGUUCACUUUAAUUCUGUUUUAAAGACCACUUAAAGGUGGGGUCGGCAGGAAUCCGUUAAAGAAGCAUCUUUUUUUGUGGUGUAUAUACAAAAAAGCUUUUAAUGUCAGUCAAUAGCUAUUAGUUAUUGUUGACAUUUGGGAAUAUCACGAUGUCGCUGUGUUCUGUUAUGUCUGUGUAGUCAACAUUUUAAUAUCUUUGAGCGGCCCGCUCUUUCUGACUGUAAACAAAGCCAUUCUCCGCCUCCCCCAACCUGAUUGGUUGUGAGGCAUGCUCCACUUCCUCAAAUAACAUUCACGAACCCAAACAAAGUUAGCCUGCUACAAUAUCGGACAGUAGAAAUCAACCAGAAUGUAUGGAAAAUUUUCUGAAUCCUCCUUUGGCCACAACUGCCAACACAAGCAAGAAAACAAAGCAAAUACUGGAGACUCUGGCUUAAAAGUGAGGUAGACCAGACAAGAGCUAAAAAGCCGGGUCAACAUAAAACGAUGGGGGACGCUUUGGGAUCUUACAGACCCUGUAACCUUUCUGCUGGACAGGUAAACUGCUCUAACAAAGUAAGCAAGUUAGCAAGUACAAUGUGUUUGCUGGUCAUCUGUUGGCAUCUACAGUAGCACCAAUGUUUUUGUCUUUUUUUCUAUUUGAAGUAUUUAUCUGCAUUAUAUCUGAAUUUAAUUGAAACAAUAAGAGCGAGCAGAAGCGUCUGUUUGUAGGUGGGGCUUGCUGGAGCAGCGAGGGAGGGGAGAGGAGGAGCUGAGGGAAAAACUGGUUGGGAGGGGUAGUGUUUGCUUUCAAGAUCUCUCCCACAAACUGGCACUUCCUCAGAUGCUGCCUACCCCAUUUUGAUGUCAACCUUGUUGGAGAAACACUGGUUGUUUUUGAAGCCCUGACAGAAGUAGAGAACUGGUUAAUGCAGUUUGGACUUUUAAUGAACCAUUAGGAACUAAUUAAGUCCUCCUUAAACCUGGUUUAGUUACCUCAUGGUCAUAUUUUUAGGAAUUAUGUCAUAAAGUGAGUUUACCUCUCCCAUGAACCUUUGGUUUAUUCCUCCUUAACCCUUCUGAGGGAAGUUUGGCUCACCUUAAAGUCAUUUCUGUUGUAAAUAUCAACGUGCAAAUCUUGCAAAGCCGGUAAAUCUUGCUAGUGAAAAGCUUUUAUUGAUUGCAUUUCCUGCUUAACUUUUAUUUUGCCCCCUAAAAUCUGUUUAUGUCAACUAGACUAUGAAGGUUAGUUUGUCACCUGAGAUGUUGUUAACCUUUUGGUACCUACUACUUUAAAUUUGAUUUUGACAUUGUGUUGCUAACCAAUGAUUUGGUCAACCCUAACUCAUCAGAAACAAAUCAAUAUAUCAAAUCAAUAUGUGCUUUCUCCGUAGAAUCUUUCAACUUCAAUCGCACGUUUUCUUGUUACGGGUUCUGACAGACAAAAUCAGUGUGCUCUCACUGUAUUUUUCGAACAUUAGCACCUUGAUUUUUUGGGGCACAUUGACAACCCUUUCACUGAAACGCAUCACUUAUCAGCUCGGACUGUGACCUCCAAUCACAGCAUGACCUUCGCACCCAUGAGCCUGGCGCUGGUAUAAUCCCAUGUGGGUGUCUUGGUAUUGACUCAGAGGUUAUUGGUUCAGCUAAUUGCUAUUUGCAUAGCUUUAUUAGUAUCCCAGCACUGCUUCCGUGACAUUUCAAUCCUUUUUUUUUUUCCCUUUUCGCUUUCUCUGGCUCCGUCUCCGUGGCUUCGUCUUGUUCUGUGCAUUCUGGGGAGAGGAAUUAGACAGUGUUUGGUGUGUGAUUAAGUAUUCAUGCUUAAAGUAGCGACGAGCAGAUCUCAGGAGAGGCAGCCAUGGAGGAGGAGAGCAAACAUUAAUAUGCGCCUAAUAACUCUUUCUAUCUGCUUCCUUGUUUUUCCAUUCUGUCUCUGUGUGUCUGUUGGGCUCUGGUUGGCCGGGUUUUCCCUCUCCAUAUUUUGGGUGAAAUAUAAAAUAUUGAAUUUGAAAAGAUGAAUGGAAGUGAGAGGAAUCUCAUGAAAUGUUAAUGUUUUUGUUGUUUUUUUUAUAACAGAAAGGGGCUGUUCAGUAAACAUCAAUGGAGCACACGUUUGUAGGACGAUGAUGGGAACUUAGCCUGACUGAGCAUCAGAGAGUUUUGUUUUAACUCCUGAACCACCAAGAGGAAUCUAGGUGCUCAAAAUGUUCAGCAGACAGCAGACCUCCACACUGAAGCCUAUAUUUGUGGGAUUUUGAUGGGAGAUGUACCUAACUGUCCCUAACACGUCCUUAAAGACCUAUUACUUCCAGAGCUUCUUCACUGGCCCUAGAUCAUCUGCAGAAGUCAUCCUUCUCUCCAAAAAUAACAAAGCUGUGAGGAGAGGUAAGAACACCACAAAGAGCUCAUUUUCCUUUGAAUUUUCAGCUUGUUUUAUGCGUAAGUUUUCUUUAAUUUUUCUUUUUCCACAGAGUUUAUAAGGUAAGGUGAUCAAAACCAAUAAAAACUCCAAGCAAGUCAGCUGUCUUCAGCUGUUGACAAAGCUGUGACUAACUUCAGCAGAGGAACAUCACAGUGGGGUGAAGAGUAACACUAUUUUUGGGAAGUCAGAAUAUGGUCACCCGAUGUUCGACCCUGUUUCCCUCCUGCUCUCUGUG